rnacentral:lncRNA from 1 species
AAUCAUUUUCAUUUUUUUUCUGUUUGUAAUCUUUAUAUUUUUAUCCUAAAAUGCCCGCAGGAUGAAUUGGCUUAGCUGGAUAUCUUGCCAAGAUUUCUUUAAACUGGUCUUCCCUUCCACUCUUUCUGCUUUAUAAGACAAUACUGCUCAUAAUUGAUCAUCACAUUUUUCUUCAUGAGAUUUAAGAGGCAACUGAAAUUGACCAGAGUGAGAGUAAGAACUGGGUGAGCCUCUGGGAUAUAGGAAGAGUGAUAUCCAGAUUUCCUGAGAAGAUAGUAGUUCUCUCAUGUGGGCAUGUCUUGUUUCUUUUUUAUGGUGCACUAACCUUGUAGGAAAGCUAUCUGAAGAGAUUACUUGUGAG